CCUGAACCUAGGAAAGAUAGGAGACAGCAAAGGAGUGACCAUACUGGAGACUCAACUACUGCCUUCUCAGGAGUCAGGCCAAAAGUCCAAGAACACCUUCACGGGGCAUUGGGGUUCUCUUCUCCAGCUGCCAAGUUCUCAUUUUCCCUAGCUGCAUCAUUCACCCAUAUUUUCUGAAUUCAGCUCAGCACUUGGUCAGAAUCAAGGAGUGAAGGUGGCAGAGGAUAGCCUAGCAGCUCCACAGCACAAACCUCAUGCAGCCUCAAUACCCCUUUUCAAAACAGCGAGAACCAGGAGAACAGCGCUCCAAAAUACCAGAUACAAUGCUGUGCAAGCAUGUGUAUUGAGCAGUCGCCUAAACACCAGUCUGGAACAAAGCUUUCCCUAAGACAUGAGGUCUCUGGUCAGCAUCACAGCAAUUUCUGGGACAAAGAUCAAAGAAACUGGAACAAGAAAGAGCAUGGAA